ensembl:snoRNA
GUUGAGGUCUAACACGAUAGGGCUUUUUCUGUAGCCACACCAUCUGGAAACAUCUAGUGUAACUGUGAUUUUGCUUUACUCAUAGGACUAUUAGAGCUGUGGGGAGGAACUAUAAUAUAAGG